UGAGGAAUAUUGGGCAAUGCCCGAAAGGGUGACCCAGCAACGCCGCGUGGAGGAUGAAGGUCGUAAGAUUGUAAACUCCUGUUAGAGGGGAAGAAUAACUAAGUUUGGAGCUUAGUAUGACUGUACCCUCAGAGAAAGCCCCGGCUAACUACGUGCCAGCAGCCGCGGUAAUACGUAGGGGGCAAGCGUUGUCCGGAUUUACUGGGUGUAAAGGGCGCGCAGGCGGAAUGGAAAGUCAGUGGUGAAAUCCUACAGCUUAACUGUAGAACUGCCUUUGAUACUUUCAUUCUUGAGUUCGGGAGAGAGAGACGGAAUUCCAGGUGUAGUGGUGAAAUACGUAGAUAUCUGGAAGAACACCAGUUGCGAAGGCGGUCUCUUGGUCCGAUACUGACGCUGAGUGUGCGAAAGCUAGGGGAGCAAACAGGAUUAGAUACCCCAGUAGUCCCUGAGCGGGCUGGCAAGGCGCAU
rnacentral:rRNA from 1 species